GGAUGAUUCACUUCCUUUUAAUGAGAUUGUGAAUGGAGAUUACAAAUAAGAAUGCCUGUAGUGAUGACCAUUCUUUACAUGCUGUGGAGGAAGUUCUGCUGAUGAUUACGCUACUUCUAAUUAAGUGGCGCUGUUAAUUUAAAACUGACUUGGAGAAAAAGAAAAAAAGUGAUGUAGAUGCCAGCUAUUAAAGAAGACUAUUCUAUAAUUAUGAUUGACUCUAUUUGUACCUUUGACUCUUAUUUGUAGUAAAAAAUUUUGAACUAAAAUUUUUAAUGCAAAUAAAUUUGUUUAAUUUCUCUAAUUCAGUCUAUGUUUAUUUCUUUUAAGUCUUACAUUAAAAAAAAAAAAAAUUCAUUCAUUUGUGUUAACUACUUAUAAAAAAUGUUUUUAAUGCUCUAUGUAUGUUUUUUUUUUUUUUUUU